AAGCCAUAGUCACUCGUUUAACUAGAAUUUAAGGGGCAUUUCAAGCCUCAAACAAACAUGUCCUCAGCCAUCUGAUCUGACAACCUCUAUGUAUGCGGAGAUAUAGCACAGCAUAUAUGAAGAUGCGGAAACAAAUGAAUGUCACUGCAGCCAUGGCGAUCAUGGUUCAAAUGUCACUGGUUUGUUUGUUGCUGCUCUCGGUGUCCUGCAUCCCAGGAAGUGAUGCUGCUGAAUUACCUCCUGGGGACAUUCAAACUGAGUCAUCCUUCAAUCCUUAUAUAAUAAGACUGUCACGGCGACCGGCUAGAGGACCAGGAAAGCGAUGGAUCAUUCCACUUUAAGAACGCUAGACGCCAAGAAAAUGAACAGCCUAGAGGCAGCAUCAGCGUGUGAAAUACAAUACUUGGAAGAUUUUGUGCCGCAGUUUGCAAUGAACGUGAAACAAUAAAUGUUUCGCUGCAUUUACUGCCA